GUCGUUAACGAACGAGACCUUAACCUGCUAAAUAGCCAGGCUAGCUUUUGCUGGUCGCGGGCUUCUUAGAGGGACUAUCGGCUCAAGCCGAUGGAAGUUUGAGGCAAUAACAGGUCUGUGAUGCCCUUAGAUGCUCUGGGCCGCACGCGCGCUACACUGACGGAGCCAGCGAGUAAUUCCUUGGCCGGAAGGCCCGGGUAAUCUUGUUAAACUCCGUCGUGCUGGGGAUAGAGCAUUGCAAUUAUUGCUCUUCAACGAGGAAUCCCUAGUAAGCGCAAGUCAUCAGCUUGCGUUGAUUACGUCCCUGCCCUUUGUACACACCGCCCGUCGCUAAUACCGAUUGAAUGGAUUA
rnacentral:rRNA from 1 species